GAACGCUGGCGGCGUGCUUAACACAUGCAAGUCGAACGGUGACGAGGAGCUUGCUCCUCUGAUCAGUGGCGAACGGGUGAGUAACACGUGAGUAACCUGCCCCAGACUCUGGAAUAACAGUUGGAAACAGCUGCUAAUACCGGAUACGAGACGGAGAGGCAUCUCUACCGUCUGGAAAGUUUUUCGGUCUGGGAUGGACUCGCGGCCUAUCAGCUUGUUGGUGAGGUAAUGGCUCACCAAGGCGACGACGGGUAGCCGGCCUGAGAGGGCGACCGGCCACACUGGGACUGAGACACGGCCCAGACUCCUACGGGAGGCAGCAGUGGGGAAUAUUGCACAAUGGGCGAAAGCCUGAUGCAGCAACGCCGCGUGAGGGAUGACGGCCUUCGGGUUGUAAACCUCUUUCAGUAGGGAAGAAGCGAAAGUGACGGUACCUACAGAAGAAGCACCGGCUAACUACGUG
rnacentral:rRNA from 1 species